AGGAAUAUUGGUCAAUGGGAGAGAUCCUGAACCAGCCAAGCCGCGUGAGGGAAGACGGCACUACGUGUUGUAAACCUCUUUUGCCGGGGAACAAAAGCGGGGACGCGUCCCCGUCUGCGUGUACCCGGAGAAAAAGCAUCGGCUAACUCCGUGCCAGCAGCCGCGGUAAUACGGAGGAUGCGAGCGUUAUCCGGAUUUAUUGGGUUUAAAGGGUGCGUAGGCGGAUUCUCAAGUCAGCGGUCAAAACCCGGGGCUCAACCCCGGCCUGCCGUUGAAACUGGGAAUCUUGAGUGAGCGAGAAGUAAGCGGAAUGCGUGGUGUAGCGGUGAAAUGCAUAGAUAUCACGCAGAACCCCGAUUGCGAAGGCAGCUUACCGGCGCUCAACUGACGCUGAGGCACGAAAGUGCGGGGAUCAAACAGG
rnacentral:rRNA from 1 species